rnacentral:rRNA from 1 species
GAUCAUGGCUCAGGAUGAACGCUAGCUACAGGCUUAACACAUGCAAGUCGAGGGGCAGCAUGAACUUAGCUUGCUAAGUUUGAUGGCGACCGGCGCACGGGUGAGUAACACGUAUCCAACCUGCCGAUGACUCGGGGAUAGCCUUUCGAAGAAAGAUUAAUACCCGAUGGCAUAGUUCUUCCGCAUGGUAGAACUAUUAAAGAAUUUCGGUCAUCGAUGGGGAGUGCGUUCCCAUUAGG